UGGGGAAUCUUGGACAAUGGGGGCAACCCUGAUCCAGCCAUGCCGCGUGAGUGAUGAAGGCCUUAGGGUCGUAAAGCUCUUUCGCCUGUGAAGAUAAUGACGGUAGCAGGUAAAGAAACCCCGGCUAACUCCGUGCCAGCAGCCGCGGUAAUACGGAGGGGGUUAGCGUUGUUCGGAAUUACUGGGCGUAAAGAGUUCGUAGGCGGACUAGCAAGUUAGAGGUGAAAUCCCAGGGCUCAACCUUGGAACUGCCUUUAAAACUGCUAGUCUAGAGACCGGAAGAGGUUAGGGGAAUACCUAGUGUAGAGGUGAAAUUCGUAGAUAUUUGGAGGAACACCAGUGGCGAAGGCGGCUCACUGGCUCGAUACUGACGCUGAGGUGCGAAAGUGU
rnacentral:rRNA from 1 species